UUCGGCAGUAGCGCGGUGGUCCCACCUGACCCCAUGCCGAACUCAGAAGUGAAACGCCGUAGCGCCGAUGGUAGUGUGGGGUCUCCCCAUGCGAGAGUAGGGAACUGCCAGGC
rnacentral:rRNA from 1 species